CGAACGGGUGAGUAACGCGUGAGGAACCUGCCUCAAAGAGGGGGACAACAGUUGGAAACGACUGCUAAUACCGCAUAAGCCCACGGCUCGGCAUCGAGCAGAGGGAAAAGGAGUGAUCCGCUUUGGGAUGGCCUCGCGUCCGAUUAGCUGGUUGGUGAGGUAACGGCCCACCAAGGCGACGAUCGGUAGCCGGACUGAGAGGUUGAACGGCCACAUUGGGACUGAGACACGGCCCAG
rnacentral:rRNA from 1 species